rnacentral:rRNA from 1 species
CCUUACCUACCCUUGACAUGUCCGGAAUCCCGAAGAGAUUGGGAGUGCUCGCAAGAGAGCCGGAACACAGGUGCUGCAUGGCUGCGUCAGCUCGUGUCGUGAGAUGUUGGGUUAAGUCCCGCAACGAGCGCAACCCUUGUCACUAGUUGCCAUCAUUUAGUUGGGCACUCUAGUGAGACUGCCGGUGACAAACCGGAGAAGCGGGGAUGACGUCAAGUCCUCAUGGCCCUUAUGGGUAGGGCUUCACACGUCAUACAAUGGUCGGUACAGAGGGUUGCCAAGCCGCGAGGUGGAGCCAAUCCCUUAAAGCCGAUCGUAGUCCGGAUUGGAGUCUGCAACUCGACUCCAUGAAGUCGGAAUCGCUAGUAAUCGCAGAUCAGCAUGCUGCGGUCGAAUACGUUCCGGGCCUU